rnacentral:tRNA from 1 species
UCUCUGGGGGUCCAGUGGCUAAGACUCUGCACUCCCAAUGCAGGGGCCCCAGGUUGGAUCCCUGGUCAGGGAA